GAGAGCCUGCGUCGGAUAGCUUGUUGGUGGGUAAGGCAUACCAAGGCGACGAUCCGUAGCUGUCUGAGAGGACGACCAGCCACACUGGGACUGAGACACGGCCCAGACUCCUACGGGAGGCAGCAGUGGGGAAUAUUGGACAAUGGGCGCAAGCCUGAUCCAGCAAUGCCGCGUGUGUGAAGAAGGCCUUCGGGUUGUAAAGCACUUUCAGUCUUGAAAAAGGGGAGCUGGCUAAUAUCCAGCUUCAUUGAUAUUAGAGACAGAAGAAGCACCGGCUAACUCUGUGCCAGCAGCCGCGGUAAUACAGAGGGUGCGAGCGUUAAUCGGAAUUACUGGGCGUAAAGGGUGCGUAGGUGGUUGAAUAAGUUAAUUGUGAAAGUCCUGAGCUUAACUUGGGGAUUGCAGUUAAUACUGUUCAGCUAGAGUGUUGUAGAGGUAAGCGGAAUUUCUGGUGUAGCGGUGAAAUGCGUAGAUAUCAGAAGGAACAUCAAUGGCGAAGGCAGCUUUCUGGACAAAUACUGACACUGAGGCACGAAAGCGUGGGUAGCAAACAGGAUUAGAUACCCUGGUAGUCCACGCCGUAAACGAUGAGAACUGGUUGUUGGGUGCGCGAGCAUUUAGUAACGAAGCUAACGCGUUAAGUUCUC
rnacentral:rRNA from 1 species